rnacentral:lncRNA from 1 species
UGACCAUAGAAAAUGAUUCCUUGAAUUGGCAAUCGCUUCAAUGUAGUACUCCCUCCGUCCCGCAAUAAGUGACUCAAAAAUGACUCAACUUUGUACUCCUUCCUUCAAUUGGAGUAUAUGUUUUCUUUUCUCAUAGGAAAGGAGAGUGCUUUAAUUUUUUACAGAACAAAAUUGAGAUUGAUUUAUUCUUUAGUUAAAAUUGGUGCCACGAAUAUGUUUCAUGGAAUCUGAGAAUUGUUCCAAACGUAUCGAUAAAGUACUUCCAAUAUAGUAAAAAUUGGCAGUCUAAGGAUUUUGCAUUGAACCUCUUUUAAAAUGGUGAUGAAAGACCACACAUGUUGAAGAUAAGUUUGGCCUUAAUCUAAUCGAGAAACAACUGUUUUUCAUACCAGACAAGCAACUACUCCUCUCCGAGUCAAUGUGCCACACCAUUCACUCACCGGUGUAAUCCAUACACAUGUUCAGUACCUUUUGAAUUUUAUGCUCCCGCUUCUCCAUGUGUCAACCCCUUUGUUCCUUGUUGACCCUAGCUUGUCUUGAUGCAACAUCAAGCAACAACAAAAUAUUACACCUGAUACGACAUCAAGCUAUACAGGAACUAUUAGACCACCCAAAUUAUUGAAGCUUCAGAAUUUGUGUCUGGGUCCAUGCCUAAUAAACUGGAAGAAAACCAAAAGAUACUUAUUGAUAUGAAUCAACUUGGUUAAGUAUGGUCAAAUACAAUGCACGGUGGAAUAUCUGCCCUGGAAAACAAAAGAAAAGGAGAUGGAAGAAAUCAUGCACUCAAUGGGUGGCUGUAAGUUCACGGGUAUCAAGACUUGGCUCACAUAUCAUUGAUCAUGGGUCUGUGUCAAUAUGGCUCCGGUGCCCAGUUUAUCACGGUGUUUUGUUAUUAUUUCCGAGAUAGUACUUUCUAUUAUAGUGUUGAGAUAAGCAAUUUAGAUGUUUUAAAUAUUCCCAGCUCUUUGGAUAAGAAGUAUUUCAGUAACUGAAUAAUCUUUGACCGUCCAAAAGAACUACCAUGUUUCUUUGGGAAUAACAGCAGAACAAAAAAAUCGAGAAUCAUGGCUGACCUAUGAGGCGCAGAUGUUGCCGAGGACCUAUAACCAUGCCUCCUCUCCUUUGCGCAACCUUGAAACCACGAGUAAUUACCUGGCAUUAUUUCAUUAUCUCAGCUGGUUUUAUGACUUCGAACAUAUGAGAGUACUCUAACAUGUAAAAUAAUUCUUUCUCAGGUUCCAAAUAAGUCAACAGUAGGUCAAAAAUAGAGGUGAAACAUUGCCAGGCAGGCAGACACACAACAACAGCCGAUGAUUAUAGCUUAAGGUCCAAUGAGGAUAAUAUAAGUAGUGGAAAACGGAAUUUUGUAUCCACAUCCCUAUUGAUCAAGGAGUAAGUCAACAUGAUACAAGGAACGUACAACAACACACCCGAGACAAUAUAAUUACAACACUGCAGAAAAAUUAGAGAUCCAUGUAAUCAAAUAUCUCUUUGUUAAAUUUUAGCUGAACAACUUAACUUAUAGAGUGUCGAUGGUUCAGAUCUUUUUCCUUUUAAUUAACAUGUGAGUUAUUAUAAAGUGGGUAAUUUCUUUUUGCGGUAUAUAAAGUGGGUAACUCAUAUAGACUAAGACAUGGAAAAAGGGUGUAGGUGGUGCAAAUUCAUAGCAAGUUUUAUAUUGGAUGCACACAAACAACUGUGUGGACACACAAAAAGAAAACAAUCACUUUGAAAGUUUGAAUAGAAAUGUCUAAAUGAACAUCAGAUGGUCUAGUAUCUCCACUGAGAGCACUACAUGGACCCCUCAUUAACAAUUUAGCAAUGAACAAACAAUUCUAGUAUUUAGACAUGAGAAUACCUUGUACAGAAUUUCAAAGCCAUAAAAAACGUUACCACUGGUUUGGGUAUCCUGGAAAUAGAACAGAGGUAAUAAAUUCCUUAUAACUAAUCAGGUGAACAUAGAAAAUUGAUUACCUCUGGUUUGAUCCCAUGUGCUCUAGCCAAAAAUAGAUCAAAUCAGCAGGAUAUCCUAUAAGGAAACAAAUCUAGCAAGGAAACUGAUUAUUAUUAUAUCUAAUUUCCAGCUACCAGUGGUAGGCGCAAAGUGGAACACUAUUACGUAGGACAACAAAUUUGGGCAGGAGGAUGUAUAAUGGUUAUGAAUGCCAGGCAAAGUGUAUUAAGUUCAUAACUAUGAGCAUGCAAAUAAUUUAUAUGAAGGGUCCCUUUUCUUCUGCAUAAGUGAGACAUACUGUAUGUAUGUGUAAUGUGUCAACCUGUACACAAAUACAAAAUAUAUAUUACAACGGAAAAUGCGUGAAUAUGAUGAUGAAUAUCUUAUUCUGAACUCUUUUGCAUCUUGUAUAAUGGACAGGGAUUGAGAUUCUAAUUUCGGCACUACUGGAGAGUAUGUUGUGUGCAAAACGAAACUACAUGCAGUAAUCUACAUGAUUGUUCGUACCAACAGAGAAACAAUUUUGCAUUUAGUAGAUGUGUGUAUGUUUCAGGGUUACUUUCACAAUAUUUAGUUGCUAUAGAAAAAACACUUAAGGCUAGCAAAUAGAAUUAACCUAGUACAUAGAAAGUAGAGAACUGACCGCUGCAGUAAAUUAUGAACUGAUAUCACACAUAAAACAGUAACAUACCCCAAAAUCUAUUCCUCGCAGCUCCCCACAAGUCUUCCUUCGCCCUCUUCUGCUCCACCAACCCCUGUUAUGAUUUCUCUCCCCUUAAAUCAUUCUUCUUACUCUGCAUACCAUCUCUGUCUCCCCAGCCCAAACAUGCUAGUACCGUCAGUAGCGCGUCCGGCACCCCACGAAAGAAAACACAAUACAACCCACACAUGAAUAAUGAUGUAAACAUACGUGAAAUUAUGAACGCUCCAAGAAAAUCAUUCUGUAAAUAACUUGAAUGGUGUGUUGAUAUGCAGAAACAUCUACUUCUUUACAAGACAUUUACUUGUUUGGAUUGCAAAACAAAUAUUGUUGUAGGAAAUGAUCUAUUGGAAACUGGUACAAAACUUCAAACAUCUUUACUGCUGGACAUAGAACAAGCACACAACAUCCUGUAAUUAUUUAGUUGCAGACGUACAUGCAUGACAGCCAACAUAU